UAGCGAAGGGGCUAGCGUUGCUCGGAUUUACUGGGCGUAAAGGGCGCGUAGGCGGACAGUUUAGUCAGAAGGUGAAAGCCCAGGGCUCAACCUUGGAAUUGCCUUUGAUACUGGCUGUCUUGAGUACGGGAGAGGUGAGUGGAACUCCGAGUGUAGAGGUGAAAUUCGUAGAUAUUCGGAAGAACACCAGUGGCGAAGGCGACUCACUGGCCCGUUACUGACGCGUGAGGCGACGAAAGGCGUGGGGAGCAAACAGG
rnacentral:rRNA from 1 species